CCUACGGGCGGCAGCAGUGGGGAAUAUUGCACAAUGGGGGAAACCCUGAUGCAGCGACGCCGCGUGAGUGAAGAAGUAAUUCGUUAUGUAAAGCUCUAUCAGCAGGGAAGAAAAUGACGGUACCUGAGUAAGAAGCCCCGGCUAACUACGUGCCAGCAGCCGCGGUAAUACGUAGGGGGCAAGCGUUAUCCGGAUUUACUGGGGGGAAAGGGAGCGUAGACGGCAGUGCAAGUCUGGAGUGAAAGGCGGGGGCUCAACCCCCGGACUGCUCUGGAAACUGUACGGCUGGAGUGCAGGAGAGGUAAGUGGAAUUCCUGGUGUAGCGGUGAAAUGCGUAGAUAUUAGGAGGAACACCAGUGGCGAAGGCGGCUUACUGGACUGUAACUGACGUUGAGGCUCGAAAGCGUGGGGAGCAAACAGGAUUAGAUACCCCAGUAGUC
rnacentral:rRNA from 1 species